CUGGCGGGGAUGAAACGUUUGCCGCCGAAUACGUCACUCCCAUUUCUUGCGAGAUUUUUUGACUGCUUCAUUUUCUCUGGCGGUUGCCUGGGUCUAAAGGACCACGGGCCUUCGGCGGCAAGACGCUUUUAAAUAGGCUACUCUCAAAAUCGACCGGCCAUGAUGGUUUGGACACAUUCGCAUCAGUUCGUCGCUCAAUCGCGAGUUACAGUCUGCUAGCUAGCAAAGUCAUCGACUACCAUCGUUUAAAUACCUUGGCCAGAGCAUAACCGAUUAUCUUCACCCAAGAGACCUACUGUUGGUCAAUCGUUUUGGUUUUAAAGAAGUUGCAUUGAUUCCAGAAAACCAGGAAAAUGUUGAGCCAUCUGUAGACUUCAGAGUUGAACCAGGUUUCUCCCCAGUAAUCCAGACUCCACUUCAGAGCCAAGAGUUUGAGUACAAGUAAGUGAUGUUUUUUGUCUUGGAAACUAUUGCUUCUAUUUAAGAUUAGGAAUCCUUUUAUCCAUAAUCUGUUUUUCUUUAGGGCACUUGACUUUCUGGAUAAAAGGUGUGGAGGUGUGUUGUACAUAUCAUUAGCUUUGCACAGUUCAAUUAUUGUGUCAUUACUGAAUAUGCAAUCUCUGCAGUGAAAUUAAAGCUGUUAUGUUUUUUCCCCCAGUUCGUCAAGUACUAAACUUUACACCCCCAGCAGAAAAUGUACCCUGGCAGCAAAUGGGUGAAAAGGCUGGAGGAGAAAGUCAUCGCUCCGUUUUUGUCCCUUGGACUCCCCUGGCAUCGCAUGUACAGCAUGAAGUUUUCAGCAAUGAAGGUAUAUUCUAUGCCUAUGUCCUAAUGUCCAGUUUUUUAACAGUUUUGAAAAUAGUGCCUUUAGUUUUCCAGAACGAGAACCAAGCCCUGAGGGAGGAGAACCAAGCCCUGAGGGAGGAGAACCAAGCCCUGAGGGAGGAGAACCAAGCCCUGAGGGAGGGGAACCAAGCCCUGAGGGAGGGGAGCCAUGCCCUGAGGGAGGGGAGCCAUGCCCUGAGGGAGGGGAGCCAUGCCCUGAGGGAGGGGAGCCAUGCAAGAGCAGCUUCGGGUGACAGCGGCUCGCUUCAAGAGCAGGUGAAGCUAUUUGGGACAAUGCUGAAGAUGUUUGCUCGCACUGGGCAAUCAGGUGCAGAUCAGACCCUAGUGCUGCGACGUCUUGGAGAGUUUGGCGAUGUGCGUAGCAUGGAAAACAAAAUGGACACUAUGCUGCAACAUUUCAGUGUCAAUGUGUCUGUUGGAGAGCUAUCCCUGCCAGGGGAUGUUACUCCCCCUAGACACCCAGGAAGAUUUGGUGUUUCUUGACAGCAUUUUGAGGGAGGAUAAAGAGCUCCAGGAACGAUUUGGGCCCUCCGGAAGAACCCGGCAACCCAGGAUGCCACUGAUGAGGCGGUCCAGGUUAACGUUACACGUUACCUGAAAGGAGCAUCAGACUGUGAAGGAGGAAAAAGCCGCCCAGCUGAGAAGGACCCACAGCCAACCCCUUAAACCUAGGCUGACUACUGACACCCCAGCAUCCCUGAACUGGAACACUUUCUUUAUCCUGCAGUCAGUAACAUCAAGAAGCCAGAAGUGCCAGACUACACUCACCAAACCCACCCUGUUUUUUUUGUAUUAACUUUAGUAUUGGCUUAUUUCAUUCCAUCUUAACGAUUCUAUUAUAGUUUGUAAAUCCUAUUUCAUACCUGUUACUUGAUAUUGCGCAUUAACUAGUACCAACAUUCUACUUUCAUUUCAUCACUAUGCUUAACUGUUAUUCAAUUAAUUAUAGCUUGGAAAUACUAUUUCGUACCUCUGAUACUUGAUAUUGCACAGUACCUGGUACCAAAUAUUCUACUUACUCUGUUUUUAACAUCAGCAUUUUUCAUUCCAUCACAGUGCUUAACUGUUAUUCUAUUGUUAAAUAUAGCUUGUAAAUCCUUGUGCCACAGGUCAGCAUUGCAGUUAUAAUGGUCUGUUCUACUACUGUUUUUACCUCUGUAUUUUUAUAUAUGUAUAUCAAGUUUUGUUUAUCACAGAUACAAGAGACACAUCUUAAUGCAGCAUGGUGUAAAUAUUGUGCUCCAGGUCAGCAAUGCCAUUAUAAUGGAAUAUUCUACUCUAGAGCUUUACUCAAUGGCUUGAAAAUGUGAUGUUCUACCUCGUUUUAUUUGGUAUCCUGCACAUUCUUUGGUACCAAAUAUCCUCAUUACUUGUUAUGUUUACUGGUAAUUAUUUUCAUCCCAGAGCUGACCUCUAUAUUAUUAACAAUGAUUGUGUUUGUGUUAUAAUUUGCUUGUAUGGCUGUUCUUUUUUUUUUAACCAACAUUUUAUUGGAAACCUGCAUGUUCUGUGUGUAUUUAUGUUUCUUUUUUUCUGCCUAUUAUUUAUUUCAGUGAUCUGACACAUCUUGUUUGAAUGACAGUUACUGUACUUUGAAAUGUGGAAUUAAAACACCA
ensembl:lncRNA